rnacentral:misc_RNA from 1 species
UCUUUUGCCAGCGCUUAACUGCGCGGCGAAAAACCUUACACACAGUGAUUUCUUUCUUUGAAAACAUUGCUUUGGUCUGGCGCAAGUUGGGCCAAAGGUUUAUUAAACUUCAAUUUUAUUAUUGAACUGUUAUUUUAACAUAAGUCAAUUUGUUGAUUAAAUUCAAAAAUCUUCAAAACUUUCAACAACGGAUCUCUUGGUUCUCGCAUCGAUGAAGAACGCAGCGAAUUGCGAUAAGUAAUAUGAAUUGCAGAUUUUCGUGAAUCAUCGAAUCUUUGAACGCACAUUGCGCCCUUUGGUAUUCCAAAGGGCAUGCCUGUUUGAGCGUCAUUUCUCUCUCAAAUCUUCGGAUUUGGUUUUGAGUGAUACUCUUAGUCAGACUAGGCGUUUGCUUGAAAAGUAUUGGCAAGAGUGGUACUUUAGGUGCUAAACUGUUUCAAUGUAUUAGGUUUAUCCAACUCGUUGAAUCUGUUUGGUUACUUUAGGGUGCUUAGGCUCGGCCUUACAACAACAAACAAAGUUUGACCUCAAAUC